rnacentral:tRNA from 1 species
GGUGGAUGUAGCUCAGUUGGUUAGAGCGUCGGAUUGUGGUUCCGAAGGUCGAGGGUUCGAACCCCUUCUUCCACCC